rnacentral:lncRNA from 1 species
UUGGAACCUCUGGGGAAGGGAGAAGAGUUGGAGGCUGACCUAAUCACCAAUGGCAGACUCAUGAAUUAUCACAGUCUUGUGUGCAAGGCAGACUGAACGUUGAGAAGACGUGAAGCGCAACGCCAGCCUCCAGUUACCAUCCUCGACAGCGGCCUUUCCUGAGAAGACGCGUUUCCGUGUUGCAAGGCAUAUGAAACCCUGCACUUCUCAAGCCCUUUGUGGCUGGAUGGGGCCGUGUGACGAGCCUUGAUGGCAUUGUAAUGACACACUUCAUUCCAGGCUGAGACAGUGAAUGCCCACGCAUGAUUCUCUAGGUUCCCUCUUGCCCUGCCGAGGCGAUCACAGAGAAGGUCUUAUGCUGAGAUGGCAGGUCCAAAAGAUCGAAG